CACUCAGACGCGAAAGCAUGGGUAGCGAACGGGAUUAGAAACCCCGGUAGUCCAUGCCGUAAACGAUGCACACUAGACGUUCGCAGUCAAUGGCUGUGAGUGUCGAAGCAAACGCGAUAAGUGUGCCGCCUGGGGAGUACGGUCGCAAGGCUAAAACUCAAAGGAAUUGACGGGGGCCCGCACAAGCAGCGGAGCGUGUGGUUUAAUUCGAGGAUACGCGAAGAACCUUACCUGGGUUUGACAUCAUAAUGGUAGGAUUUAGAGAUAGAUCUGACCCUUCGGGGAGUUAUGACAGGUGCUGCAUGGUUGUCGUCAGCUCGUGCCGUGAGGUGUUCGGUUAAGUCCGCAAACGAGCGCAACCCUCGGCGUUAGUUACAAGUGUCUAGCGCAACUGCCCGUGGCAAACGGGAGGAAGGUGGGGAUGACGUCAAAUCAGCAUGGCCUUUAUAUCCAGGGCUACACACACGCUACAAUGGCACAUACAAUGGGUAGCGAAGCCGUGAGGUGGAGCCAAUCUCGAAAGUGUGUCUCAGUUCGGAUUACAGGCUGCAACUCGCCUGUAUGAAGUCGGAGUUGCUAGUAACCGUGUAUCAGCACGGCACGGUGAAUACGUUCCCGGGCCUUGUACACACCGCCCGUCACGUCAUGGGAGCUGGUUACGCCUGAAGUCGGGAAGCCAACCGCAAGGAGGCUACUGCCGAAGGCAGAACUGGUAACUGGGACGAAGUCGUAACAAGGUAGCUGUAGCGGAAGCUGCGGCUGGAUCACCU
rnacentral:rRNA from 1 species